AACCGCGCGAAGGUAGCGCAAUCACUUGUUUUUUAAAUGAAGACCCGUAUGAAUGGCACAACGAGGGCCAAACUGUCUCCUUUUUCCAGUCAAUGAAAUUGAUCUCCCCGUGCAGAAGCGGGGAUAACCCCAUAAGACGAGAAGACCCUGUGGAGCUUUAGACACCUAAACAGACCCUACAUAUACCCAAGAUAAAGGAACCAUAAAAGACCCUGCUUUAGUGUCUUAGGUUGGGGCGACCCCGGAGAAUACAAAACCUCCGCGCAGAAUGGGAGAACACCUCUCACAACCAAGAGUGACAGCUCUAAGCAAUAGAACCUCUAACUAAAAGAUCCGGCUCUGCCGAUCAACGAACCAAGUUACCCCAGGGAUAACAGCGCAAUCCCUUUUAGAGUCCCUAUCAACAAGGGGGUUUACGACCUCGAUGUUGGAUCAGGACAUCCUAAUGGUGCAGCCGCUAUUAAGGGUUCGUUUGUCAACGAUUAAAGUCUACGUG
rnacentral:rRNA from 1 species